GGGGGGGGGCGGCUACCAUGCAGUCGAGCGGGGGAAGGUAGCUUGCUACCGGACCUAGCGGCGGACGGGUGAGUAAUGCUUAGGAAUCUGCCUAUUAGUGGGGGACAACAUCUCGAAAGGGAUGCUAAUACCGCAUACGUCCUACGGGAGAAAGCAGGGGAUCUUCGGACCUUGCGCUAAUAGAUGAGCCUAAGUCGGAUUAGCUAGUUGGUGGGGUAAAGGC
rnacentral:rRNA from 1 species